ACUCCAACCUCUUUGUCCCCUUGAAAUAAUCCAUAAUAGAGAAAGCAUGCUUCCAGAUGAUCUGGCAUGUAAUUGUAACUCAAUUCAAAGAUGUCCAUGCACCGAGUUUGUGGAUUAUUUAUUAUGAUUGAGUUCAAACUCUCUGCAAUUUGUUUCCACAACUCAGGUUUCUUGUGUGAACCUUGAAGCAGACCAGCUAUUGCAACAACAGAAAGAGUAGCUCCCAGUUUUCAGCAUCGGAGAGUAGACAAAGUUUAAGAAGAUUACAUUCAAGUGUGAGUUUCGACACCAUGUCAUCGAGACGACUUGUUAUCAGAGCUCUACUUCCAUUGGUGUCUUCUGGAAAUGAGCUCUUCAAGUUAUUCCAUGGCCUGAUACUCCACACAUCAUCCAAAAUUAUUAAAUACCGAUUUUUCUUCAAGUGUUUAUCGAGAACCAACUCCAAAUCUUCAUUGGUCAUUGUCAAGAUAUUAUCUGGUUGUCUUACCUAUUCCUGGCAUUCCAACAAUUGAAACUGUAUCCAGCUGUGAUGAUCCCCUGGUAAGUCGAUCAACUAUGAUUUGUUGCUGAUUAUUUGGCUCUGCUACAUCUUCAUUUAUUUUAAAGGUACUCAUCUGUGAGAAUUCACGACCCAUAGAUUGCUUACCACUUUUGGCUCCCACCUCAAAUGCCUCCUCUUGAAAUGCAGCUACCUGCUCCUUGAAAUGUCUAAUAUUUUCUGAGACAUGGUAAAGCCAUGACAAAUUUUACCUUUCCGAUCCAUUGCCACCCAGAAUUGAGUUAACAAUGAAUUCUGCCCUAUAAGCUGCAUCUACUAGAGUUGUUGCCAGAUUCUGGAUGUGUGAAGUCCUGUUCCUCGAGGAAAGAUCUCAAGAAUCCCAGAUUCUCCAGGAUUUCCUCAAUGUGUUCUUUGAGAAAGACCAUUGAAUCAGAGUCAAUUUUAAGCAACUCUUGUAGCUUUGUCAAGAGAAUAUCAAUGAAUCCUAGUCCAUUAAUCUUGGGGAACUUGAUAUGAGGA